UGAGGAAUAUUGGUCAAUGGGCGGGAGCCUGAACCAGCCAAGUCGCGUGAAGGAAGAAGGUACUUAGUAUUGUAAACUUCUUUGUCGGGGAACAAAGGCGGAGACGCGUCUCCGGAUGAGUGU
rnacentral:rRNA from 1 species